AGUACCAAAUCAAAACUUUCAACAACGGAUCUCUUGGUUCUGGCAUCGAUGAAGAACGCAGCGAAAUGCGAUAAGUAAUGUGAAUUGCAGAAUUCAGUGAAUCAUCGAAUCUUUGAACGCACAUUGCGCCCGCCAGUAUUCUGGCGGGCAUGCCUG
rnacentral:rRNA from 1 species